rnacentral:rRNA from 1 species
CGAAUUCGCCCUUUUCCGGUUGAUCCCGCCGGAGGCCAUUGCUAUCGGAGUCCGAUUUAGCCAUGCUAGUCGAGCGAGGUUAGCCCUCGCGGCGAACAGCUCAGUAACACGUGGCCAAGCUACCCUGCAGAGGGGGACAGCGUCGGGAAACUGACGGGAAUCCCCCAUACCGGUCUCACGCUGGAAUGCCGAGACCGACAAACGCUCCGGCGCUGCAGGAUGCGGCUGCGGCCGAUUAGGUAGUCGGUGGGGUAACGGCCCACCGAGCCGAUAAUUGGUACGGGGUGUGAGAGCACGAGCCCGGAGACGGAAUCUGAGACAAGAUUCCGGGCCCUACGGGGCGCAGCAGGCGCGAAAUCUUUACACUGCACGAAGGUGCGAUAAGGGGACUCCGAGUGCGAGGGCAUACAGUCCUCGCUAUUGUGUACCGUAGGGUGGUACACGACCAAGAGCUGGGCAAGACCGGUGCCAGCCGCCGCGGUAAUACCGGCAGCUCGAGUGAUGGCCGAUUUUAUUGGGCCUAAAGCGUCCGUAGCUGGCCCUGCAAGUCCGUCGGGAAAUCCACUCGCCUAACGAGUGGGCGUCCGGCGGAAACUACAGGGCUUGGGACCGGAAGACUUGAGGGGUACGUCUGGGGUAGGAGUGAAAUCCUGUAAUCCUGGACGGACCGCCGAUGGCGAAAGCACCUCAAGACGACGGAUCCGACAGUGAGGGACGAAAGCUAGGGUCUCGAACCGGAUUAGAUACCCGGGUAGUCCUAGCCGUAAACGAUGUUCGCUAGAUGUGGCACAGGCUACGUGCCUGUGCUGUGUCGUAGGGAAGCCGAGAAGCGAGCCGCCUGGGAAGUACGUCCGCAAGGAUGAAACUUAAAGGAAUUGGCGGGGGAGCACUACAACCGGAGGAGCCUGCGGUUUAAUUGGAUUCAACGCCGGG